rnacentral:rRNA from 1 species
AUGGCGGCCAUAUCAUCGCUUCCGUUCGCUGCACUGCGCCGAGCGGCCGACUGGAGGCCGUCGACGGCGACUGCCGCGGUGAGCGUCUCCGGUGGCGUCAUGCUCAACGCGAGGGCUCGGCGGGGCUCACGUUCGGUGGUGCGCUGCGUCGCUACGGCUGGUGAUAUCCCACCUACUGUGGCAGAUACAAAGAUGAACUUCCUGAAGUCAUACAAACGUCCUAUUCCAAGCAUUUACAGUACAGUCCUACAAGAACUUUUGGUGCAGCAACAUCUGAUGAGAUACAAAAGUACCUAUCAGUAUGAUCCUGUGUUUGCUCUUGGAUUUGUCACCGUCUAUGACCAGCUUAUGGAAGGGUACCCCAGCACCGAGGACAGGGAUGCCAUCUUCAAGUCAUACGUAACGGCGUUAAAUGAAGAUCCUGAGCAAUACAGGGCUGAUGCACAAAGGAUGGAAGAGUGGGCACGCUCACAAAAUGGUAACUUGUUAGUUGAAUUUUCUUCCAGAGAUGGGGAAAUAGAGUCCAUUCUGAAAGAUAUAUCAGAAAGGGCCCAGGGUAAGGGAAACUUCAGCUACAGCCGGUUCUUUGCUGUUGGCUUGUUCCGUUUGCUUGAGCUCUCAAAUGCGACGGAGCCAACCGUACUGGACAAGCUUUGUGCUGCUCUAAACAUCAAUAAAAAGAGCGUGGAUAGAGACCUUGACGUUUACCGCAACUUACUCUCGAAAUUGGUUCAAGCCAAGGAACUUCUCAAGGAAUACAUCGAGAGGGAAAAGAAGAAGAGAGAGGAGAGAUUGGAGACGCCCAAGCCGAAUGAGGCUGUUGCAAAAUUCGAUGGAAGCGCUUAUCCCUUGAAGCAUUAA